rfam:Neotoma lepida isolate 417 scaffold_80, whole genome shotgun sequence.
AGAUGUAGGGGUGACCUGGCUGAGACAUCCAUCAUCCCAUUGAUCACCAGGACUAAUUCUGCUGAUCCACCCUGCUAGGCCAGUAUCCAGCCUCCACCUUCUCCGCCCCAUGUACAUCCCUCCUGAAGACACACUGGCCCUCGAAGAGGACAGCCCUCUCUACAGAAGACUGCUCUCUGGUCAAGGGUGCACACGUAGCUGCCCUCCUCUGCUUGACCCUGCAAACAAACUCUUGUUUGUUUGACACAAGGUCUCUCUGUGUAGCCCUUAAUGUCCUGGAAUUUGCUAUGUAGACCAGGCUGGGAUUAGGAUCUCUUUAUA